UACGUAGGGGGCAAGCGUUAUCCGGAUUUACUGGGUGUAAAGGGAGCGUAGACGGCCGUUCAAGCCAGAUGUGAAAGCCCGGGGCCCAACCCCGGGACUGCAUUUGGAACUGUGUGGCUAGAGUGUCGGAGAGGCAGGCGGAAUUCCUAGUGUAGCGGUGAAGUGCGUAGAUAUUAGGAGGAACACCAGUGGCGAAGGCGGCCUGCUGGACGAUGACUGACGUUGAGGCUCGAAAGCGUGGGGAGCAAACAGG
rnacentral:rRNA from 1 species